GCGCCUGUAGCUCAAUGGACAGAGCAACUCCCUUCUAAGGAGUAGGUUGUGGGUUCGAUUCCCGCCAGGCGCGCUA
rnacentral:tRNA from 1 species